CAUGGUGACAAGAUCCAGGGCGCUUUCUGGCUUCCAAGCAAUUUGCUCCCCACCCCUGGCUCCCAAGUAAAAGUGGGGCAGAGAGAGAGAGGAGCUUUUGUUUCUCAAGUGCUUCAGCUGUUGCUACUAAUUAAGCGAAGAGCCCUAGUGCCUUCCCACCUCCCAAGCUUAAGGAGGGUCUAGUUGGGGUGAAAGGAGAGUCAAGAGUCUGUGCUGCUGCUGCUUCUCUGCACCCCGCUCUCACUACAGGGCUCUUUUCAUCCUUUCUCUGCCUUGCUGGGUGACCUGUGGCCAACUCCACGCCUCAGAUUCCCUGGCUGCAGCAGGGAAGAAAUGAGAGAGACCAAGCUCAGCGUGAGGCCAGAUGGAAACUACCACCCUGCUGCUCAAGACUUCCCUGGAUGUCAUUCCCUCCUCUCUCUGAAAUGCCAGCUCCGUCCCCGGGCUCUAACAGCGUUACUGAAACCUCCCCGGUGUUGCCAGAAUGUGCUGGAGGAGCCAGAUGAACUGUCAACGAGUUCUGCUACCGGAGCCCAGGAUCGAGGACUGCAGAGGAUAUCACGGGUCCGUGCGCGAGCGCAUGUUUUCCAGAGACCUUGGCCCCAGAAGUCAGCCUGGUGAGGUCCUGCUCUCUUAGGUAGCCAGGUUAAGCACUCAGUCCUCUAAUGGUGCCUGAUGAGCAGAGGGCACGGAGCAUUACUUUAUCCCCUCCCCUGAGGGUUCCCAUCCGUAGAGGCUCCGGCACAGGAUGCUGCCUCUGUCAGCUCUGCAGUAAUCAGCCCAGAGGCAGGAAGUGGAAACUUUCUGCUUGCAGCCACUUAGUUUCAUUAGAAGCAUCAAAAGAGAAAACAGGCCUCAGGUGGGGCAGUGAGAGGCAGAGACACGCAAGGGGCUGGGGAGAGGGGAUUUGCAGCUCUAUUUAACAUGUCACUUAGCAGGUAAGUCUCAGCUAAGAGCUGGAGAAAAGUGGUAGGGAAGAGGGGCAGAGGCAGCCUGAAGCUGGGGGCUGUCACUGACAUCACUCAGAGCUGUCAGGAGAUCAUACAGCUCUGGAAAACCUGUUUAUUAUUUUUAUUUUUUCACAAAAACAGCAAUAGGGCUGAGCAGAAAUCCCACCCUGCUGCCCUAAGGCUUCCUCCCUGUCCCUCUUCUCCUCUGUAAGACUUUUGUCUUGAUUUCUUUUCAAAAACCUGGUGCCCUGGGAAUUGUGUCCCUUUCCCAGUGCUCUGCUCCGGGUCUUGAUUAUCCCUGUCACUGCAAAGAAUUUCCCUAAUGUUCAGCCCAAGUCUUCCUUGUUCACCACAACCAUGACACUGUUUGGAGGCAGGAUAUUAAGGGCUGGAGUCGCUCCCAUAAUAACAUAUUGAUUUCAAUGAAGCCAAGCUCAAUGGGGAGGAGUCUGUCCAGCCUUGCUCCAUCCCCCUUGUGCCCCAAGAGAACGUUUUGUGUUAGACUAAAUGCCUCUGUAAGUGCCUCUCAGUUCUGUGCUCGUCGUGAGCUGUUCUGUGUAGACACAUUGAAGCAGGCAGGGAGCAGGAUCAGGCCAGUAAUCACAUUUCCUUUUGGCAGUAGGUAUUUUAUCAGCCUUGGUCUCCCUGGGCACUCUGAACCGCGUGGCUGUCUGGCUCUCCUGAGCAGAUCUCAUAGCCCAGGCAGGCAGGAGUUCUUCCACCAGGCGCAGCCCUCUCCCCCUUGCUUCCCAUUUCAUUAACGUCCUCUCCCAAGAGUGGAAAUGAAUUAAACCGCUCACCUCCUAAGCCCUAUUUCCCUCCUUGUACUUUUCCCUAAGCCACCUCCAAUAAAGCAGCCUGUGCACACCAGUGGCAGUGGGACAGUUGUGCACAUCUGGCAGGCACGUAGGGGUCACAUCAGCAGGCACAUCAGUCGCUCACUGACCAGCAGCAGCAUCUGGGAUCUUGAAGCAGAGAAGAUUCAUCAUUUGGUGACCGUCUGUUGCAGUAAUUCCUGCUCUACAACAUCGGCAGAGUAGAAUUCUGCAUCCAGCUCCCCUCCCUCUGUGGCUACCAGCAUCUUUAUCUUUCUUUCCAGCUGGGAAAGGGGUCUCCUUGACAAGGAGGGGAGCACAGAUAUUCACAAGAUGCCAUGGGUCCUCGGGACUAACAUUUGCAUCUCUAGUUCUCACUGGCCAGAUCCUUUUGCCUCUGUAUUUUUCUUUGUCCUGUAGGAAGGCAGGGAUAUACAGCCAGGGAGCAGCAGCUUUUUUUUUUUUUU